AGUGAACGCUGGCGGUAGGCCUAACACAUGCAAGUCGAACGGCAGCACAGUAAGAGCUUGCUCUUACGGGUGGCGAGUGGCGGACGGGUGAGGAAUACAUCGGAAUCUACUUUUUCGUGGGGGAUAACGUAGGGAAACUUACGCUAAUACCGCAUACGACCUACGGGUGAAAGCAGGGGAUCUUCGGACCUUGCGCGAUUGAAUGAGCCGAUGUCGGAUUAGCUAGUUGGCGGGGUAAAGGCCCACCAAGGCGACGAUCCGUAGCUGGUCUGAGAGGAUGAUCAGCCACACUGGAACGGAGACACGGUCCAGACUCCUACGGGAGGCAGCAGUGGGGAAUAUUGGACAAUGGGCGCAAGCCUUAUCCAGCCAUACCGCGUGGGUGAAGAAGGCCUUCGGGUUGUAAAGCCCUUUUGUUGGGAAAGAAAAGCAGCAGGUUAAUACCCCGCUGUUCUGACGGUACCCAAAGAAUAAGCACCGGCUAACUUCGUG
rnacentral:rRNA from 1 species